rnacentral:misc_RNA from 1 species
GAUGAAGAACGUAGCGAAAUGCGAUAAGUAAUGCGAAUUGCAGAAUCCGUGAGUCAUCGAAUCUUUGAACGCACAUUGCGCCCUUCGGUAUUCCGAAGGGCAUGCCUGUUCGAGCGUCAUUAUCACCCCUCAAGCCCCGGCUUGGUGUUGGGCUCUCGGUGGUCGUCUCCGACCACCCGUCUCAAAGAUAGUGACGGCGUCCCAGAGGGAACCGGUACGAGGAGCUUUCACGAGCAUGUACGCGGGACGACUCUGCGGGCGACGGUCUUAUUUACUUUAUAUACAAGUGUUGACCUCGGAUCAGGUAGGAAUACCCGCUGAACUUAAGCAUAUCAAUAAGCGGAGGA